rnacentral:rRNA from 1 species
CGACCCCAGGUCAGGCGGGGCUACCCGCUGAGUUUAAGCAUAUCAUAAA